CGCACGCGCGCUACAAUGAUGCAAUCAACGAGCCUAUCCUUGACCGACAGGUCCGGGUAAUCUUUGAAACUGCAUCGUGAUGGGGAUAGAUUAUUGCAAUUAUUAAUCUUCAACGAGGAAUGCCUAGUAAGCGCGAGUCAUCAGCUCGCGUUGAUUACGUCCCUGCCCUUUGUACACACCGCCCGUCGCUCCUACCGAUUGGAUGUGCUGGUGAAGUGUUCGGAUUGGCGGCAGUGGGCGGUUCGCCGCUUGCUGCAGCCGAGAAGUUCUCUAAACCCUCCCAUCUAGAGGAAGGAGAAGUCGUAACAAGGUUUCCGUAGGUGAACCUGCGGAAGGAUCAUUG
rnacentral:rRNA from 2 species